UACGGAGGGUGCAAACGUUGCUCGGAAUCAUUGGGCGUAAAGCGCACGUAGGCGGCCUGUUAAGUCGGGUGUGAAGGCCCUCGGCUCAACCGAGGAAGUGCAUUCGAAACUGGCAGGCUUGAAUAUGGAAGAGGGUCGCGGAAUUCCCGGUGUAGAGGUGAAAUUCGUAGAUAUCGGGAGGAACACCAGUGGCGAAGGCGGCGACCUGGGCCAAUAUUGACGCUGAGGUGCGAAAGCGUGGGGAGCGAACAGG
rnacentral:rRNA from 1 species